rnacentral:rRNA from 1 species
AGAGUUUGAUCCUGGCUCAGAGUGAACGCUGGCGGCGUGCUUAACACAUGCAAGUCGAACGAGUAAGUGCUGUAGCAAUACAGAUUACUGCUAGUGGCAGACGGGUGAGUAAUACAUGGGAAUCUGCCUUGGAGUUUGGGAUAACUGUUGGAAACGACAGCUAAUACCGAAUAUUGCCGAGAGGUAAAAGAUUUAUCGCU